rnacentral:rRNA from 1 species
CCUACGGGAGGCAGCAGUGGGGAAUAUUGGACAAUGGGGGGAACCCUGAUGCAGCGACGCCGCGUGAGUGAAGAAGUAUUUCGGUAUGUAAAGCUCUAUCAGCAGGAAAGAAAAUGACGGUACCUGACUAAGAAGCCCCGGCUAACUACGUGCCAGCAGCCGCGGUAAUACGUAGGGGGCAAGCGUUAUCCGGAUUUACUGGGUGUAAAGGGAGCGUAGACGGUGCAGCAAGUCCGAAGUGAAAGGCCGUGGCCUAACCACGGUACUGCAUUGGAAACUGUAGAGCUUGAGUACGGGAGAGGCAAGCGGAAUUCCUAGGGUAGCGGUGAAAUGCGUAGAUAUUAGGAGGAACACCAGCGGCGAAGGCGGCCUACGGGACCGUAACUGACGUUGAGGCUCGAAAGCGUGGGGAGCAAACAGGAUUAGAUACCCCAGUAGUC